rnacentral:rRNA from 1 species
CGUGUAGGCGGUUUGGUAAGUUGGGUGUUAAAUCUCCGGGCUCAACCCGGAGUCGUUGUCCAAAACUACCAAACUAGAGGACGGUAGAGGGAGGUGGAAUUCCGGGUGUAGCGGUGAAAUGCGUAGAUACCCGGAGGAACACCAGUGGCGAAGGCGGCCUCCUGGGCCGUACCUGACGCUCAGACGCGAAAGCUAGGGGAGCGAACG